GCUCAACCGGGGAGGGUCAUUGGAAACUGGGGAACUUGAGUGCAGAAGAGGAGAGUGGAAUUCCACGUGUAGCGGUGAAAUGCGUAGAGAUGUGGAGGAACACCAGUGGCGAAGGCGACUCUCUGGUCUGUAACUGACGCUGAGGCGCGAAAGCGUGGGGAGCGAACAGGAUUAGAUACCCUGGUAGUCCACGCCGUAAACGAUGAGUGCUAAGUGUUAGAGGGUUUCCGCCCUUUAGUGCUGCAGCAAACGCAUUAAGCACUCCGCCUGGGGAGUACGGUCGCAAGACUGAAACUCAAAGGAACUGACGGGGGCCCGCACAAGCGGUGGAGCAUGUGGUUUAAUUCGAAGCAACGCGAAGAACCUUACCAGGUCUUGACAUCCUCUGACAACCCUAGAGAUAGGGCUUCCCCUUCGGGGGCAGAGUGACAGGUGGUGCAUGGUUGUCGUCAGCUCGUGUCGUGAGAUGUUGGGUUAAGUCCCGCAACGAGCGCAACCCUUGAUCUUAGUUGCCAGCAUUCAGUUGGGCACUCUAAGGUGACUGCCGGUGACAAACCGGAGGAAGGUGGGGAUGACGUCAAAUCAUCAUGCCCCUUAUGACCUGUGCUACACACGUGCUACAAUGGGCAGAACAAAG
rnacentral:rRNA from 1 species